UUUAAGGCUUCCAAGGCUGAGACUCCUUGUGUUUAACCAGAGUCCCAUCACCUGGGUUGCUGCAGCAGGCAGGCUUCAGGGAGAAGCACAUACCAUGACGUUGGGCUUGCCUUAGUUUCUGUUCAUGCGUUGGAGAGUUUGUUCAACUCAUAUUCUGUGACAGGAAUCCUCGGAACUCUGGAUUACACCACAGAUGAAGAACGAUGAAGCAAAGUUGUUUUCUUUCGGACAUUAAUGUUUGCGGGAAUAAGAGUCUACUCCAGAAAGCCACUGGGAUCAAUCCAUAUACUCAAGUAAGAAAAUAGAUGGGAAGUGGACACAUUCAGCAAGUCAUUGACAUUAAUAAUCACUUGUUGUCUAGAGCUGGAAGAUUACACACAUACUAUAAAUGUGAUCAUGAAAGACAUCAGCACUUUGGGGAACAAAAGUUGCCCAUAGUUUUGGUGAACCCGAAACAGGAGUUUUCAGCAAUCAGUAUUUGAAAUCCAGCUGUUACCAGAAGUGGAAGAAAUCACACUCAGCACUGCUGGGAAAAUGUUUUCUGUAUAUUGG